CCUAGAGGACACGAGUUUGUGUUCUGUGACUUUCUCGAUGGCUGAAGAAAAGGCCUCAGAAAAAGGGCCUGGCUUAUAGGAAGUUGAACACAGAAUCGAAACUUCUCCUGAGGUGCCACCUAACACCACUAACCACAAGGACUGCCGGGAUAGCCCUGUUGACACUGCAAAAAUAAAAUAUGUCACCAGAACAUGUCACAGAGCUGAGAAACUUAUUUCCAUGAUUCCCUAAGGUCAACUUUGGUACAUGCUUUUUCCUACUGGGCAGCAAACAUGUGUUACCAAACUCUUAGCUAAGUGCUUUUUGUUUACAAUUCUACAAUGAAUUUCUGGCUUUCUUCAUGUUGACUCCUGAAAAUACUGGGAUCUACUUCCACGUCUUUUUCAGGGAAUAAAUUCCAAGUUGCAGUGCAUCUUUGAACCUUUGUAAACAUUUUACUGUGAAAACUUUCAAGUCUACAGAAAACUAGAACGACUUUACAGCCAAUAUCUGUAGCCCCAACACUUAGAUUCUACCAUUAGCAGUUUCUUGUUGUACCUGCUUUGUCACAGGUCUGUCCAUCCCAUUUCCUAUUUGUCAGUCCAUCUCUU